AUCACAGCACAGAUCUAGCCUGGGGAAUUUUCCAUUUUGGUACCUGGUCUUUACAAUUUUCAUGAGCGUAGCGUGGCCAUUCCUGAGGUAGCAUUCGGUGUAGAAGACGACAGCAGCUACGGCAACGGCUUUAAUGCAGUCUUGUUCCUUUGCCAUGACGAGGAAAGAAAAAAGGAAGAAACAGAUCAAACACUGGUCCCAUACGUCUCUGUGAUCACAUCACAUCACUCAAAGAAAGAAAAGAAAAAAGAUACUAACUCCUAAGUGAGGCCAAAAACGUUAAAACUAAUUGCCGUGUUGCUACAGCAGUACAGCUAAAUAUAAAAAAGAUUACUCCUAAGUGAGGCAGUUGACUGAAGAGUUAACGCUACUGCCUUCCCUAGUUAACCAACUUUCUUAAGAACAACAAUACGAAAAUAGAACAGCAUUGAUCAACUAAGCAUAAUUAGAGUUGCGUUAUUUUUAGUGGUUGGCGGAUUCAAAUAUAUAUAAACAAAUAAAUAUGGAUUGUAUCCCUUGGGGCCUUGGGGGUAUGAAUGUUGAUUAUGCACUGGCAGUAAUCUACACAUUUUUGUGGAAACUCUGAAAAGUGUUCUGUCACUAACUACCUCGAGCAGUUUAGCCAAGAUUCGUUUUGACAGCAUCUGAUAGCCUAAGCAGAUUUUUACCUUGCUAGUUGAUUUCUCAUGAGAUGAACAGCACGCGCCAGCAUUUCCUACACAGUAGAGCGAGCCUGAGAACGCCCCUAACACAGCCAAAGUAAUCCACGAUUACCUGCACAGAAGGUUGGAAACUGUAACGCCAAACGACAAGCAGAUAGAUUUCUUUGCAAGUCACAACACCCCAUAGAAAGGAAAACGACCAGGUAUGCCUGACAACAGAUAGAGAAAAUAAAGAGUGCACCAAUAGUCCUUGGGGCUAGCAAGUUGAUAGUGUACAUCAACCUAGUAUAAUUUGACCAAAACAAUCUAACAACGAAUGGAGAUCAAAGCACAUCUCCAGCCCCUGCAUCCAAAGCGACAGUGCAUGUUUUCAUGCAGUUUAACAUCUCUAUAGUAUCACAUAUGUAUCUUUAAAUCCAGAAGUUCCAUUUAAUAUGGAUACUGUUCGGCAAGUCACAUUUGAAAUCAUAGUUCUAAAAUUGUUUGUUGUGCAGGAAUUGGCAACAUCUUCACACAUGUGUACCACAAGGAAAAAACCUAUCAAAAUUAUAAAUGGAGCAAGCGGGACAAUUCGUCCAUCACGGUAAGCAGCUCUACUUUUUACUAAAUCGAUAAUGGUUGAUACUGUUUAUCUCAGAGUAAGUGUUCCACUGAAAAACAUGUAACGCUCCAUAUCAGGAGUUCAUCAUUCAUUAAUUUAUUAUUCACCUAACAUGCUGAAUCUUUGUGAUCCCGUUACAUAAUCAGGAUGACACUUCUUCUAGGAGCACCUGGUUCUGGGAAAACUACUUUUUUAAAAGCAUUGGCAGGAAAGUUGGAUUCUUCUUUGAAGGUACACUGAGUUAUCUACUUGCCACCGAAACCACUUACUAACAAGACAAUCAUUGAUUAACCAGCAUUGUUUUUUUCUUGAUAUCACAUCUCUUAAUAGCUCAAAGGAAAGGUCAUGUACAAUGGAGAAGAAGUGAAUUCCUCAACACCUCAAUACCUGCAUGCCUACAUUAGCCAGUAUGAUCUUCAUCAUGCUGAGAUGACCGUCAGAGAGACGAUUGAUUUCUCUUCCAAGAUGUUGGGAACCAAUAAUGAAUUUGGUGAGACACCCUCUUGGGUAUGGGGAUAUAGCUUUAGUUCCCGUGUAUAUGAAUGAGCUAAUUUAUAACCAAACCCAGACACUGAAAAUUAAGAAGCACUCCUUUCAAGGUUUUUUUCCCUUUGCAUGACAUAAAUACUAAUGCAAAAUUCCUGUUUGAAAUGGUCGCCUUAGAGAUGCUGGGAGAAGCAAUAAGAAGGAAAAAGGGUGUCAUCAACAAAGUGGACCAAGAUCUUGACUCGUUUAUUAAGGUUACUAAGUUUAUUUUCCGCCAAUUUUGGUAAAACUGGAAUCCAGUUCCCCCAAUUGCUUAAAUCUGUUUUCUGCAGGCUACCACCUUCGGAGAAGGAAGCAACCUUACAACAAACUAUAUUAUCAAGGUAAAUUCGUAACUUUUCAAUUUAUACAUUUGUCUUCAUAACAUAAUCACAAACUUUGUGCAAAUGCAGAUACUUGGUUUGUCCGAGUGUGCAGAUACCCUAGUGGGGGAUGAGAUGAGAAGAGGCAUAUCAGGAGGACAAAAAAAGAGAGCCACGAUUGGUAAGGAUUCUAUAGUGUUUACUAUGUAUCUUGUUCCUCUUAUCACCCUCUGUUCCCACUUUAUAGAGUGCAUUUUCUAAUGCGACCUUAUUUCAUAAUAAAAAAAAGGGUUUAUGUUAUAGUCCUUGGCCCAAUAAAAAAUUUAUCACCUCAACAACUUAUAUUUUGUACAGUAUUGCUUGAUGAAACAAAGAUCCUAGUUAAACCCACAAUGAAAAGAUUGUAAAGUAACAAAAUGUCAAAAUGACACCAUAAUUUCUUGACAUGUUCGAUUAAAUGGACUAUGAAAACAGUAUGCGUGUACUUUUGUAGUGAGCCGGUCACGAUAUUACAGAAUGCUCUCUUCCUGCUGAACUCUCUAUUGUUCUCCAGAAAAAAUAAUUUGAGGAUGAUAUUUAUUCUACUGAAUAAGGGCAACUCUGAAUAUGUCAGAUGUAACUAAAAAUUAUGUAGAUUGCUGGAAGGUACCCACACUGCAAUGUGCUGCAUUUAUAAUAUAUAUUUUCCAUGGCCUAUUCUGCUUACGAAUAUGUCAGAUGUAACUAGAAAUUAAGUAGAUUGCUGGAAGGUACCCACACUGCAAUGUGCUGCAUUUAUAAUAUAUAUUUUCCAUAGCCUAUUCUGCUUACGAAUAUGCCAGUUAUACAGACGAUGGUGCCAGUACCAAAGUUAACAACUAUAAAUAUUGACGAUGUAAUCAACAGUGGUUUUCUUUUAUCAAUUUGUCAUUGUUGCUAUAUUUUUAAGAUGAAUUCACUAAUGCAGGAGAGAUGCUAGUUGGUCUAGCAAGAUGCUUCUUUAUGGAUGACAUAUCAACAGGUCUAGAUAGCUCCACCACAUACGAGAUCGUAAAGUUUCUCCAACAAAUGGCUCAUCUGAUGGAUCUCACUGUGGUUAUUUCCUUGCUUCAACCACCUCCUGAGACGUUGGAAUUAUUUGACGACAUAAUCCUUUUAUGCGAGGGGCAAAUUGUAUAUCAUGGUCCUCGAGAAAAUGCUACUGGUUUCUUUGAAAUUAUGGGAUUCAAAUGCCCCAGCAGGAAGAAUGUAGCUGAUUUCCUUCAAGAGGUACUAGAUUAUAAACUCUAAUAAGAGGGAACUACUGAAUAAAUCUAUAUUGCUAACUUAAGGGCAACCAGUCAAUAAAUAUCAGAAAGUAACAAUGUAGCAUGCAGUACAUGAGUUGCAAUUCCAUCCACAAAAUUCACUAUUAUGUUAUAUGUACUUGUUCGUGCAUAAUAAUGCAAGUAACUGACAGCAACUUUUCUUCAUUUGACCAGGUAACCUCGAAGAUGGAUCAAAAGCAAUACUGGAUUGGUGAUGAAAAUAAGUAUCAAUACCGGUCAAUCGAAAAAUUUGCAGAAUCUUUUCGUUCAUCCUAUCUCCCACAACCUGCGAAAGACGAUCUCUGCAAGACAAACAAUACAGGAAAGAGAAAGGAGAUUAUAACAAGUGCAACUCGCAGGAUCUCUAGAUGGAAUAUUUUCAAGGCAUGCUUUUCAAGGGAAGUAUUGCUUCUUAAAAGAAACUCCCCACUUCAUAUAUUUAAGACUGUACAGAUAACUGUUAUGGCUUUGGUGAUCUCAACGGUUUUCCUUCGAACAAAUAUGAACCAUAAAACUGUACUCGAUGCCAAUAAGUACAUGGGAUCACUCUUUAUGGCUGUUGUGAUAGUAAACUUCAAUGGCAUGACUGAAAUUGGAAUGACAAUAAAGCGACUCCCCACUUUCUACAAGCAAAGAGAGUUACUAGCAUUGCCAGGAUGGGCACUUCUUUCUUCGGUAUUCCUUAUCAGCCUCCCAAUGUCACUUCUAGAGACAGGUCUGUGGACCAGCUUAACCUACUAUGUGAUUGGCUACGCACCUUCCUUUCUCAGGUACCCCUCCUAGUCAAUUCAAUAUCUAAUGAGCAAAAUAUUUGAAUAAGCUGGAAUAACAGAACGAGUUACCUUGCUUCUUGCAGAUUCAUCCAGCAGUUUUUGGUACUUUUUGCCAUGCAUCAAAUGUCAAUGGGCCUCUAUCGUUUCUUAGCGGCAAUAGGAAGGACGCAAGUAAUGGCCAACAUGCUAGGCACUGCAGCUCUCAUAGCAAUCUACAUAUUUGGAGGCUUUGUCAUAUCAAAAGGUUAGAUGUUUUAGCUCAGAAUAACGUAAGAUGUAUGAGUACUUGUGCAACGAAGAUGCUUAACAGUUUUGUACAUUGAAACAGAUAACCUCCAACCAUGGUUGCAGUGGGGAUACUGGACAUCCCCAUUCACCUAUGCACAGAAUGCUGUUGCCCUAAAUGAGUUCCUUGAUGAAAGAUGGGCUAUUGUAAGCAAUUGUUUCAACUAACAUUCUUGAUCCAAUGUACAUAACCCGUGCAAUUAGUUAUGACCUGAUGAUGAUUUUUCAUGCUGACAGGAAUUUUACUAUGCAAAUGCUAAAACAGUUGGUGAAGCUAUCCUCAAGAUCAGGGGGUUGCUCACAGAGUGGCAUUGGUACUGGAUUUGUGUCGGCAUUUUAUUUGGAUUCUCGCUGGUCCUCAACAUCCUCACUAUAUUUGCACUAGAGUUCAUGAACUGUAUGUAUACCAAAGCUAUCAAAAUCCUCAUAAGUAUUGAAACAUAAAUGCAAACAAAAUCAUCAUAUUUGUUCAUAAUUUGUAGCUCCACACAAGCAUCAAGUUAAUAUCGAUUCCACGAAGACAAAAACGGAGUGUAAGAAACAAAAAGUUGGAACUCGCAAUGCAUCAACUGGUCAAGUUGCCCUCCCGUUUCAGCCUCUUUCCCUUGUAUUUGAUCAUAUCAACUAUUUUGUUGACAUGCCUAAGGUAACAUCUUGAGCACAUAGUGCCUUACUGAAUACUUGCAUCCAUUUCAUUUCCAGUCACGUUUGACCAAACGUAUGCAUAUCUUCCACCAGGAAAUGAUUAAGUAUGGAGUAACAGAGAAAAAGCUUCAACUGCUGCAAGAUGUCAGCGGUGUUUUCAGGCCAGGGGUGUUAACAGCUCUGAUGGGGAUCACUGGUGCUGGAAAGACAACAUUGCUCGACAUUUUGGCUGGAAGAAAAACUGGAGGAUAUAUUGAAGGUACUAUUAGGAUAGCAGGAUACCCAAAGAAGCAGGACACAUUCUCAAGGAUCUCGGGCUACUGUGAACAGAGUGACAUUCACUCCCCUAACCUCACUGUGCAUGAGUCACUACAGUUCUCAGCAUGGCUUCGACUUCCUUCGAACGUUAACUCUCGCCAAAGAGAUGUAUAAGCAUUGACCUUUUGCAAUCUUUAUCAUCUUUGAAGCUAAUAUAUAACAAUAGAUCUAACAAGAUUUCCCUACAAACAUGUUUCAGAUGUUUAUAGAUGAAGUAAUGGACCUAGUUGAAUUGACUGGACUGAAGAAUGCCAUGGUGGGAAUAGCAGGAGCAACUGGCCUGUCAGCUGAGCAGCGAAAAAGGCUAACAAUAGCAGUGGAGCUGGUAGCUAGUCCUUCCAUUAUAUUCAUGGACGAGCCAACCACUGGCU
rnacentral:lncRNA from 1 species